rnacentral:rRNA from 1 species
CAUGGAGCCGACCUUGAAAUACCACCCUUUAAUGUUUGAUGUUCUAACGUUGACCCGUAAUCCGGGUUGCGGACAGUGUCUGGUGGGUAGUUUGACUGGGGCGGUCUCCUCCUAAAGAGUAACGGAGGAGCACGAAGGUUGGCUAAUCCUGGUCGGACAUCAGGAGGUUAGUGCAAUGGCAUAAGCCAGCUUGACUGCGAGCGUGACGGCGCGAGCAGGUGCGAAAGCAGGUCAUAGUGAUCCGGUGGUUCUGAAUGGAAGGGCCAUCGCUCAACGGAUAAAAGGUACUCCGGGGAUAACAGGCUGAUACCGCCCAAGAGUUCAUAUCGACGGCGGUGUUUGGCACCUCGAUGUCGGCUCAUCACAUCCUGGGGCUGAAGUAGGUCCCAAGGGUAUGGCUGUUCGCCAUUUAAAGUGGUACGCGAGCUGGGUUUAGAACGUCGUGAGACAGUUCGGUCCCUAUCUGCCGUGGGCGCUGGAGAACUGAGGGGGGCUGCUCCUAGUACGAGAGGACCGGAGUGGACGCAUCACUGGUGUUCGGGUUGUCAUGCCAAUGGCACUGCCCGGUAGCUAAAUGCGGAAGAGAUAAGUGCUGAAAGCAUCUAAGCACGAAACUUGCCCCGAGAUGAGUUCUCCCUGACUCCUUGAGAGUCCUGAAGGAACGUUGAAGACGACGACGUUGAUAGGCCGGGUGUGUAAGCGCAGCGAUGCGUUGAGCUAACCGGUACUAAUGAACCGUGAGG